rnacentral:rRNA from 1 species
CAGCAGCCGCCGCGGUAAUACGAAGGGUGCAAGCGUUACUCGGAAUUACUGGGCGUAAAGCGUGCGUAGGUGGUGGUUUAAGUCCGUUGUGAAAGCCCUGGGCUCAACCUGGGAAUUGCAGUGGAUACUGGGUCACUAGAGUGUGGUAGAGGAUAGUGGAAUUUCCGGUGUAGCAGUGAAAUGCGUAGAUAUAGGAAGGAACACCAGUGGCGAAGGCGACCACCUGGACUGAUACUGACACUGAGGUGCGAAAGCGUGGGGAGCAAACAGGAUUAGAUACCCCCGUAGUCCCUGUCUCUUAUAC